UAACGACUCUCGGCAACGGAUAUCUCGGCUCUCGCAUCGAUGAAGAACGUAGCGAACUGCGAUACUUGGUGUGAAUUGCAGAAUCCCGUGAACCAUCGAGUCUUUGAACGCAAGUUGCGCCCGAAGCCACGGCCAGGGCACGUUUGCCUGGGUGUCA
rnacentral:rRNA from 1 species